rnacentral:lncRNA from 1 species
UUAAGUAUAGUCACUUGAAAUGUGUAAUAAUAACUUAAAAUAAUAAAGUAUGGUUACAAAAUAAAUUUGUUUGGUUAUAUGAAAAGAUCUCUUCUUUGAGAAUUUCUCAUUGAGUAAAUCUUCUUGUAUAUUCUAUUGCAGUGUACCUGACAAGGUAUAACCCAUUGGAGUGUACCUUGUAUAAUUCAUUUGACCGGGUUCAGAGUUUUAAGAAAUAAGAAAAGAGUUUUCUUCACAUUAAUUGUUAAAUACAUGGCACC